UACGGGGGGGGCAAGCGUUGUUCGGAAUUACUGGGCGUAAAGCGUGCGCAGGCGGUUCGCCAAGUCAGGUGUGAAAUCCCCGGGCUUAACCUGGGAAUUGCGCUUGAAACUAGCGAGCUUGAGUGUGGCAGAGGGGGGUGGAAUUCCACGUGUAGCAGUGAAAUGCGUAGAGAUGUGGAGGAACACCGAUGGCGAAGGCAGCCCCCUGGGUCAACACUGACGCUCAUGCACGAAAGCGUGGGGAGCAAACAGG
rnacentral:rRNA from 1 species